rnacentral:hammerhead_ribozyme from 1 species
AUCCGACCGAUGAGUCCCAAAUAGGACGAAAUGCGCAUCCUGGAU